GCUUUGGCACAACUUCUUGUGUGUACUCCAUGUUAUAUUUUGACUGAUGUGGCACUUCUUGCCUAAUAAUAGGGCUUAAUGCAGGUUUAAAUCUAGCAAGUCUUUGACAUGAUUCGUUCACAACUCGAUUUCGAGUGUCAAGGGCCUCAAGUCUUUGCAUAUAUUCUUCAAAGAAAGUGUUGCCAUGUCUUGAAUGAACAAGUUGCUUACAUGACUCAGCAAGAUUAUUUGAAGGAAUUUGAGGGAGCUGUUCAAGCUGGAUGCUGCAGAGUACAUGAUGUCCAUCUGUGGCGAUGAUGGUCUGAGGGAACUGUCUUCUCCAGGGAAAAGUGGCAGCAUUUUCUAUAUUUCUCAUGAUGGUAGAUUUUUCAUUAAGACUUCACGAAGACCUGAAAUGAAGGCUCUACUCAAGAUGCUGCCUAGCUAUUAUGAGCAUGUAAAAGAUCAUGAGAACACCCUGAUAACAAAAUUUUUUGGGCUCCAUCGAAUAACAUUGAGAGGUUUUAAAAAGGUAUACUUUGUAGUCAUGGGGAAUAUGUUUUGCACUGACUUGCGAAUACAUCGUCGUUUUGAUUUGAAGGGUUCAAAGCAGGGACGAUUCACAAAUCCGGAUGAGAUUGAUGAGAGUACCACUUUGAAAGAUCUCGAUUUGUCAUAUGAAUUUCAUAUGGACAAAUUGCUACGAGAGUCACUUUUUAGACAACUCAAACUAGACUGCAAGUUCUUAGAAUCUCAACAGAUAAUUGAUUAUAGCCUUUUGUUGGGAUUACAUUUUAGAGCUCCUGAACAACUGAAUGCCUUCUUAGAACCCCCUGAUGCACUGCACAAGCAUGAGAUCUUGCCUCAAACUGAUGGUGCAAUCUCACGUGAGAUCUCGAUUCCUCCGAAGGGUCUGCUCCUAGUUACUCACGAACCAAGCUCUGUCAGCACUGCACCAGGGCCUCACAGUAGAGGAAAUACUUUGAGAGCAUUCUCUGUAGGGGAGAAGGAAGUUGAUCUUCUUCUGCCUGGUGCUGCAAGGUUACGAGUGCAAUUAGGAGUGAACAUGCCGGCCCAGGCUAAUCGCAAGCUUCAACCGGAUGAGACUGAUGCAGAAGUUGAACUUUUUGAGGUUUAUGAUGUUGUGCUCUAUCUUGGCAUAAUUGAUAUAUUGCAGGAAUACAACAUGAAAAAGAAAAUAGAGCAUGCAUACAAAUCACUGCAAUACGAUCCUAUGUUGAUUUCUUCUGUUGAACCCAAGCUUUAUUCUGAGCGUUUUAUCAAAUUUCUGGAGAAAGUUUUCCCCGACCCCGAACAACCUUGAAAGGCAGGAAGAUCUUUGUUUUUAUUCUGCAAAGUGUCAUGGUUUUUUAGAUAGGAUGAUGGUACAAUUCUCAUUCGGACAGUGGGGAUCAUGUCUACAUUUAUAUGCAACAUUGAGCCUAAUAAUAAGGGAUGUGAGGUCAGAAAGAACAUACAUCGGCUCAUUUCUUCAACACCUUGUAUACUUUCUUGCUAUAUGGCCCAGUUCUUGUUGAAUUCAGAUAUGUGGAUUUUUCACAAAUGGUUUUGUGGGUUAUAUUAACAAUAUGUACAGAAUCAACCGUUAAAGAAUAGAAAAACGCACAGAAAGUGCAUUAUGUGAUUUAGAUUUAUCUCAAGUGUGACCCACAUAACACUUAAGAUGGAUACGUGAACUAUACAUUAUACUUUUUGU